rnacentral:rRNA from 1 species
UGGGGAAUAUUGCGCAAUGGGCGAAAGCCUGACGCAGCGACGCCGCGUGGGGGAUGAAGGCCUUCGGGUUGUAAACCCCUUUCAGCAGGGACGAAGCGCAAGUGACGGUACCUGCAGAAGAAGCGCCGGCUAACUACGUGCCAGCAGCCGCGGUAAUACGUAGGGCGCAAGCGUUGUCCGGAAUUAUUGGGCGUAAAGAGCUCGUAGGCGGUCUGUUACGUCCGCUGUGAAAUCCCAGGGCUUAACCCUGGGCUUGCAGUGGAUACGGGCAGACUAGAGGCAGGUAGGGGAGAAUGGAAUUCCCGGUGUAGCGGUGAAAUGCGCAGAUAUCGGGAGGAACACCGGUGGCGAAGGCGGUUCUCUGGGCCUGACCUGACGCUGAGGAGCGAAAGCGUGGGGAGCGAACA